UCAUGUCUUGUCUUAAAAUAUAUCCUUGAUGGGAAGCUACUAUGUGGCAAUAAUAAGUGUAGCGACUAGUUUUUAGUCGCUACACUAUGUGGCCAUCAGGUAGUUAUUCUGAUUGCCAUAUAAUGGGUGCAAUAGUAUAUAGUGUCAUUGACAAAAAAUCCUUGGGAGGAAGCUACUACGGCAUGGCAAUAACAAGUGCAGCUGCUAGUAUUUACUCGCUACACUAUGUGGCAACAGGUGAGUUGAUUGCCACAUAGUGGGCGUACCAGUAUAUAGUGUCACUGGCUCAAAGUCCUUGAUGGGAAGCUAGUGUCACUGGCUUAAAGUCCGUGCUGGGUAGCUACUACGUGGCAUUAACAAGUGUAGCGACUAGUAUUUACUCGCUACACUAUGUUGCAACAGGUGCUUUGAUUGCCACAUAGUGGGCGCACCAGUAUAUAGUGUCCCUGGCUUAAAGGCCUCGAUGGGAAGCUACUACGUGGCAAUAACAAGUGUAGCAACUAGUAUUGAGUCGAUAUACUAUGUGGCAAUCAAGUGGUUUGAUCGCCACAUAGUGGGCGCAACAAUAUAUAGUGUCAGCGACUUAAAAUCCUUGAUGGAAGCAACUAGUCGUUUCUAGCAAUGUUUCUCUACAGGAGAUCUGUUCAAUUCCAACAUGAAAUCUGGGAAGGUCCAUUGACUGGAUUUCGCUUUUUUGACAAUCGAUGGGUACCUGAGGCUUCGAUAGACUUGAGAAAUCUAUUGUGACCUAAUGGGUCAUGAAACACAAGGAACAAAGAAAAAGUGGAUCCAAGAUCAAAUUUUAUCAUUCCAAGAUUGGUGAAUAAAAACAAUGAGUUGGAAGAAGACUUAUAGCUUAAACAGGUCCAAAUUGAUAACUUGGCGUGGGAGAAGAGACACAAUGAAAGAUGGAGAUGGUGUAGGUUCAAUAGGAAGAUUGUUUUAUGUAUUUUGAUUUUUGUUGUUGUUAUGUUCAUCAGCAGCAAAUGAACUGAAAGUAGUUGCUAGAUCUGGUCUAAAAUGGUGUACAUUUUGUAUACCUCUCUCUAAAUAUAUCAGAUUAUGUUAUGUUAUGUUUUUUUUU